AAGCAUGCAGAUUCAUUUUCUGCCACCGAAUACAUUAGCAUGGGAUAAUGGAAUAGGACCCUGUCCUCCUAUCUUCAGUUGGUUAACUUGUAGAGGAUCAGGGUAAUGAUUAAUAGGGAUAGUUGGGGGCAUUAAUAUUUAAUUGUCAGAGGUGAAAUUCUUGGAUUUAUGAAAGAUUAACUUCUGCGAAAGCAUCUGCCAAGGAUGUUUUCAUUAAUCAAGAACGAAAGUUAGGGGAUCGAAGACGAUCAGAUACCGUCGUAGUCUUAACCAUAAACGAUGUCGACCAGCGAUUAGGAGACGUUGAAUACAAAACACCACCAUGUAUAAUUCAGUAUAUGGCCAGUCAAAUGGUUG
rnacentral:rRNA from 1 species